rnacentral:lncRNA from 1 species
UUGUUCUCUGCCAUUUUUCAAUCGCGCCGUUUCCAUCUCCCCUCUUUUGUUUCCGACCCAUUUCCGAUCGGCCACAACGACGACGAAGGCGCCUCGACGGUAAGUACUCUCUUCCUUUCUUUUACGUUUAGUUUUUGUUUUAAGAAACAAAAGAAAAAAAACAAAAUAAAAUAAAAACAGUAAAAAGAACAGAGAAAAAAAAAAUCCGUCACCUUCAAAAUCCUUGCUUUUCUGUUUUUCUUUUUUAUUUUCUUUAAUUUUUUUCAAUACAAAAUUUGUCUCCCCCCCCCCAAAUCAGUUUACAAUCAGCCCUUUUAUACCAAAAACUAAUAAUAAUUAAAUAAACAAAUAAAAAUCCUAUCACUUGCUCGUUGUGCUGUGGUUCGUGGUUUGUUUGUAGGAAGAACGUGAAAACGGCGUGGGGGUUGCUGUGACAUGGGGCGUGCGCGGCGCUGGAAUUUGCUGCGACGUGGAGAACGUGCGCGGCGCAGGGGAAGACUUAGGGUUUCUGGAAACAGUUUAGCAUUAGGUUAAUUGGGUUAGGCUACAUUUGGGCUUGAGUUAAUGAAAUUGGGCCAUGUUGGGCCGAAUGUAUAUAGUUUAUUGGGCUGUGCAAAUGGUUUUGGGCCCAGGGCAAUAAUUGGGUAUUACAGGUCAAUAAUAAAUUUAUAAAUGAACACGUUUUAUUAAACUUGGACGUUUUAUUGAAGGAUCAUUAGUUUCAAAACCCUUCUUCGUGACACUACUGGAUUCGGCCAUAACGUUUAGGCCGAGUUUGGGGUGUUACAUUUUAAAAAUCUAAAGAUAUUGUGAUAUAACCUUAGAAAUUUUGGUAAAUUCUUAAAAAUAUUGGUAUGCCAAAAUGUUUUAGUUGAUUAAGUUUGGGCAUUAAUGAAAUCUUUAGAAAUUUGAUAAACCCAUAGAAAUUUUGGUAUAACCUUAGAAGUUUUGGCAAGACUUUAGCAAUUUUGGUAAAUCUAAGAUAUUUCGAUAUAACUUUAAACACAAAAUAUUGAGUUCAUCGAGUCUGAGAUACUAAGAAGAUUUUUAAAAUUUUUGAUAUAACCUUAAAAAUUUUAGUAACACCUUUGGAGAUUUGAUACAACAUUAAAAAUUUUGGUAAAACUUUAUACAUUUUGAUAUAACUUCAUGAAUAUUGAUAAAUCUUUUGGUAUGCCCAAAUAUGAGUUAUUCAAGUCUAUCUGUAAAGAUUUUAGUAAACUGUUGGGUCUAAAAUAGCUCACAUAUAUUUAAAAUUUUACAAGUUGCUUUAAUACAUUUAAUUAAACUUCAUAUUUAAUAAUUAUUAUCUUGUCGGUUAAGUUUUAACUUGAUUAGCAUAGUUAUUAUUGUCAAUACAGGAGGACGUGAGUUCAAAUACGCUGAAGUACAACAUCCUCUUAUUUAUGGAUUAGGG